CCUGAUCUCAUCAAUCUAGCGGGAGAGACGGGAUAACCUGUCCGAGAGUACAGUGCCACUAGGACUCCACCAGAAAAAAUCACUAAAAAAUUCGCCAAAAAUCGCUUGGAGCAAAGGGCAGUCGGCGGUGCUUCGCCAAGGUUGGCGCAGCCGGUUUUGACCUUUAGGAGAGAGCCGAUUCUGGAGAACAACCUAACUUCUUUGAUUGAAUACUCACAUAUGCUGGAACAUGAUAGGAGAUUAAGGUUUCAUAAUGAUAAAAUGAAGACGAUAAUAAAACAGCCCCCUACUUAGCCCAGCAGUUCUUACCUUUCUGACCUUCUUGAUGAAGAUGUCUUUUGAAAGGUGUACUGCCAGGAACAAAAUGUUUGUAAAUUCAGCUUUUACCAAGGUUUCAUUUUAAACUGAUGCCAAAUAAUUCCAAUAUUGAGCAUCUUAAAUCUGUUACUUAGAGUAUGGAUUGAGUUUGGAGCCAACUCAGGACUUCAGAGGAGUAUUCAGGAAGUGGAUAUUACUAUUCCUUCCUCAUGGAAAAAGUUUUUUCUAAAUGUUAUUUUUCAUUGAAUAUUAUCAAAAAGGAGAAAAAUUAAUGUUCUAAACUUAUGAGAUAGAUUUGUCUCUAGUAAGUAUUAAGAUAUAGCACUUGCAUAUCUGGGAGGAGAAAUGAGAGACCAUCAUCAGUACAUUCCCAUUUACUAAAAAAUUUCAUUUUCUUAUUCUUGUCAAGGAAUUACUUGUAACUUCUGUUUUAUU